UACGGGGGGGGCAAGCGUUGUUCGGAAUUACUGGGCGUAAAGGGCUCGUAGGUGGCCAACUAAGUCAGACGUGAAAUCCCCAGGCUCAACUUGGGAACUGCGUCUGAUACUGGUUGGCUUGAGUGCAGGAGAGGAACGCGGAAUUCCAGGUGUAGCGGUGAAAUGACGUAGAUAUCGGAAGGAACGCCGGUGGCGAAAGCGCACGACUGGUCCUCUUCUGACGCUGAGGCGCGAAAGCCAGGGGAGCAAACGGG
rnacentral:rRNA from 1 species